rnacentral:rRNA from 1 species
AGCGAACGCUGGCGGCGUGCUUAACACAUGCAAGUCGAGCGAGAAAGGGGGCUUCGGCCCCUGAGUACAGCGGCGAACGGGUGCGUAAUACAUGAGCAAUCUACCCUUGAGGCGGGAAUAACCCAGCGAAAGUUGGGCUAAUACCGGAUAAGACCACAGGAGGAAACUCCAGAGGUCAAAGGCAGCUCUCUUUUGGGGGCGGCCCUUCGAGGAGGAGCUUAUGUCCUAUCAGCUAGUUGGUGAGGUAACGGCUCACCAAGGCGAAGACGGGUAGCUGGUCUUAGAGGAUGAUCAGCCACACGGGGACUGAGACACGGCCCCGACUCCUACGGGAGGCAGCAGUGGGGAAUAUUGGGCAAUGGGCGAAAGCCUGACCCAGCGACGCCGCGUGGGUGAUGAAGGCCUUCGGGUCGUAAAGCCCUGUCAGGAGGAAAGAACGAUCUCGUGGUGAAUAUCCACGAGAUGUGACGGUACCUCCGAAGGAAGCACCGGCCAAUUCCGUGCCAGCCGCCGCGGUAAUAC